rnacentral:rRNA from 1 species
GCGGUGGCUUACCAUGCAAGUCGAGCGAAACGAAGGUAGCUUGCUACGGUGAGUAGAGCGGCGGACGGGUGAGUAACGCGUAGGAAUUUGCCCAGUAGUGGGGGACAACAUGUGGAAACGCAUGCUAAUACCGCAUACGCCCUAUGGGGGAAAGCAGGGGAUCUUCGGACCUCACGCUAUUAGAUGGGCCUGCGUAAGAUUAGCUAGUUGGUGGGGUAAUGGCCUACCAAGGCGACGAUCUUUAGCUGGUUUGAGAGGAUGAUCAGCCACACUGGGACUGAGACACGGCCCAGACUCCUACGGGAGGCAGCAGUGGGGAAUAUUGCACAAUGGGCGCAAGCCUGAUGCAGCCAUGCCGCGUGUGUGAAGAAGGCCUUCGGGUUGUAAAGCACUUUCAGCAGUGAGGAAAGGUUGCAAAUUAAUACUUUGUAGCUGUGACGUUAACUGCAGAAGAAGCACCGGCUAACUCCGUGCCAGCAGCCGCGGUAAUACGGAGGGUGCGAGCGUUAAUCGGAAUUACUGGGCGUAAAGCGUGCGUAGGCGGUUUGUUAAGCAAGAUGUGAAAGCCCAGGGCUCAACCUUGGAACUGCAUUUUGAACUGGUAGACUAGAGUACUGUAGAGGGUGGUGGAAUUUAGAGUGUAGCGGUGAAAUGCGUAGAUAUUCGAAGGAACACCAGUGGCGAAGGCGGCUUUCUGGACCGAUACUGACGCUGAGAUGCGAAAGCGUGGGUAGCAAACAGGAUUAGAUACCCUGGUAGUCCAUGCCGUAAACGAUGUCAACUAGCCGUUGGAAGACUUGAUCUUUUAGUGGCGCAGCUAACGCAAUAAGUUGACCGCCUGGGGAGUACGGCCGCAAGGUUAAAACUCAAAUGAAUUGACGGGGGCCCGCACAAGCGGUGGAGCAUGUGGUUUAAUUCGACGCAACGCGAAGAACCUUACCUACUCUUGACAUCCUCAGAACUUAGCAGAGAUGCUUUGGUGCCUUUGGGAACUGAGUGACAGGUGCUGCAUGGCUGUCGUCAGCUCGUGUUGUGAAAUGUUGGGUUAAGUCCCGUAACGAGCGCAACCCUUGUCCUUACUUGCCAGCACGUAAUGUGGGGACUAUAAGGAGACUGCCGGUGACAAACCGGAGGAAGGUGGGGACGACGUCAAGUCAUCAUGGCCCUUAUGAGUAGGGCUACACACGUGCUACAAUGGCCGGUACAGAGGGCAGCAAGACCGCGAGGUGGAGCAAAUCCCAGAAAGCUGGUCGUAGUCCGGAUUGGAGUCUGCAACUCGACUCCAUGAAGUCGGAAUCGAUAGUAAUCGCGAAUCAGAAUGUCGCGGUGAAUACGUUCCCGGGCCUUGUACACACCGCCCGUCACACCAUGGGAGUGGGUUGCACCAGAAGUGGCUAGUCUAACCUUCGGGAGGACGAUCACCACGGUG